GGAGCCAUCAUCUAAUGGUUAGGAUACAAGAUUUUCAUUCUUGGCAUAGGGGUUCGAUUCCCCUUGGUUCUA
rnacentral:tRNA from 1 species